CAGCAGCCACGGGAAUACAGAGGGGGCUAGCGUUGUUCGGAAUUACUGGGCGUAAAGCGCACGUAGGCGGCUUGGUAAGUUAGAGGUGAAAGCCUGGAGCUCAACUCCAGAAUUGCCUUUAAGACUGCCGAGCUAGCAGGUGAGAGAGGUAAGUGGAAUUCCGAGUGUAGAGGUGAAAUUCGUAGAUAUUCGGAAGAACACCAGUGGCGAAGGCGGCUUACUGGCUCAUACUGGACGCUGAGGUGCGAAAGCGUGGGGAGCAAACAGGAUUAGAUACCCGUGUAGUCCCUGUCUCUUAUAC
rnacentral:rRNA from 1 species